rnacentral:rRNA from 1 species
AUUGAACGCUGGCGGCAUGAUUUACACAUGCAAGUCGAACGGUAACAGGCCGCAAGGUGCUGACGAGUGGCGAACGGAUGCGUAAUGCAUCGGAACGUGCCCAGUCGUGGGGGAUAACUACUCGAAAGAGUAGCUAAUACCGCAUACGAUCUAUGGAUGAAAGCGGGGGACCGUAAGGCCUCGCGCGAUUGGAGCGGCCGAUGUCAGAUUAGGUAGUUGGUGGGGUAAAGGCUCACCAAGCCAACGAUCUGUAGCUGGUCUGAGAGGACGACCAGCCACACUGGGACUGAGACACGGCCCAGACUCCUACGGGAGGCAGCAGUGGGGAAUUUUGGACAAUGGGCGCAAGCCUGAUCCAGCAAUGCCGCGUGCAGGAAGAAGGCCUUCGGGUUGUAAACUGCUUUUGUACGGAACGAAACGGCUCUGGUUAAUACCCGGGGCUAAUGACGGUACCGGAAGAAUAAGCACCGGCUAACUACGUG